AGAAGAAGAGGGCGUCUUUGUUUGGUCUGUUUCCAUCGUUGAGAGGCGGUGGAAAAAGCUCCGGCGCCACUCUAACCGUAGAGUGAAAACUGGGACGCACUUGUGUGUUUGUGGAUGGAUAUUAAGUCUAUUGACCACGGAUGUGUUGGUUUAAAAUUCAUCAGGUUUACGCGUGUUGCAAGCAACUUUGAACAAACUCUUGGCCACCAGCUAAUUUAUUGUAGACUCUUGGCCACCAGCUAAUUUACCAGCUAAUUUAUUAUAGAGUAUUCUUUCUUUCAUUGUCUGUUAAUGAAGUAUUCUUAUUAGGCAUAUGAGUUUUGUUUUUUUUAAAUUAAACACAUGAGUGAAUGCUGAAUAGGACAACUACUAAUAUACAAGGAUUUUGUAUGGUAUAUUUCACAAGUAUUUGUUCUGAUUUCAAACAUAACUAAUGCAUUGCUGUGAGAAGUAUAUAUUCAAUGAUUUUAAAAUAUUCAACAUACAAGUGGUAUAUUUCACAUAUCACUUUUACUAUCUUUGUUGAUCUACUACGUCCUAAAGUAAUACUUAAAUUUCAAUUUGAUUAAGUUCUAGUAAUUAGUUAUUUAAGUUUUUAUGAUCUUGUUUUUUUAGAAUUUUUCAUAAUGUUAUUAACAUGAUUCUUAGACAUAUUUUUAGAUUUUAUAUAGACUCUAAAGAUAAGAACAUAAGCCUUCUCAAUUAUUUCUUUGGCUUACGUAAGUUUUAUAUUUGAUAUUUAUCAGAUAUGGAUACUUUAUCAAGCCACUUUUGAUGGAGCUAAUCAUGAAGUAGCUGAUGUCAUAAAAUGUCGUUCGUGAUCCUAUUUUUUGUUUUAGCUAAUCGGUACUUUUUCUCUUUAUUAUAAUUAUUUGUUAGUUUUCAAGAUUUUUUUCAUAAAAUUUUUUAAAAUCUUAAUUAUUACUUUUUAAAUUAAUUUUCAAAUAAUUAAGAAUUCGAUAGAUUAAAAAUGUAUCAAUUAAACAUUUUCUCUUAUAUUACUUUUACAUAUUUUAAAAGACAAAUCUAUUAAUCAAUAUAUUUUUCACAUUUUUUGUCUCUCAUAUGUUUAACUGAUACAUUUUUAAUCUAUCGAAUUCUUAAUUUUUUGAAAAUUAAUUUCUUUGAAAAGUAAUAAACAUUUUAAAAAGUUUUAUGAGAAAAAUCUUGAAAACAAUAAAUAAUUAUAGCAAAGAGAUAAAAAGUAUCCGAUCAGCUAAUCCAAAAAUAGGAUCACUAAUGGCAUCUUCUCCUUACUCUUGAAGUAUGACAUCAGUUAUCUGCAUGAUUAGCUCCAUUAAAAGGUGGUUCGGUAAAGUAUUCAUAUGUGACAAAUAUAAAACUUAAGUAAGUCAAAAAGAAAAGAUUGAAAAGGUUUAUGUUCUUGUUCUUUAGAGUUUAUAUGGAGUCUAAAGAUAUGUCUAAGAAUCAUGUUAAAGAUCAUAAAAAUUUAAAUAACUUAUAAGUAGAACUUAAUCAAAUUGAAAUUAAGUGACACUUUAAGAUGUUGUAGAUUAAUAAAGAUAGCAAAAGUGAUAUGUGAAAUAUACUACUUGUAUGUUGAAUAUUUUAAGAUCACUGAUUAUAUACUUCUCAUUACAAUACAAUACAUUAAUUAUGUUUAAAAUUAGAACAAAUAUUUGCGGAACAUACCAUACAAAAUCCUUGUAUAUUAGUAAUUAUCCUACACAGCAUUUAUUUUGUAUUUGAUUUAAAAACAGAAACAAGACUCAUAUGCCUAAUGGUAAACACAGCAUGCUUCAUUACCAGACAAUGAAAGAAAUAGAAUACUCUACAAUAGAUUACCUGGUGGCUCGACGGAAGGAGGGUUUUUUGCCGUUGUGCCUAGCACCUGCUUUAUUCGAUAUUCUUGGCCUUUCCAUUGUUGUUGCUAUGGCCGAGGUUUAUGGUCCGCGUCAUAGCCUCCAAGCUUGGCAUGGUUAAAGGAAAAAGUAAAUAGGUCAUGCUUUGAACUUACCUCGGCCCAAAUUUGUUAAUCGUACAGCAUGGUCGCCAAGCCCCCAAGGUUAGCCUGUUUCCGAUGCUUUGAAAAAUUGCUGGUAGUUACUUUUGUUUUGCAUUCCUCAUCGUGGCUCCUCGUUUCCUGCAUUCAUUAUCAUUUAGUGGACAUGACUCUUGGCGCACUUCUUUGGACACCCUUAUCCGUCAGUUAGAUAAAUGCAUUUUAAAUUUUGAACGGCUAUGAUUAAAAAAGGAUGGUUGGAUCAACCGUUUUAAUGUUAAAGUGCAUUUGCUUUUCUCCAAAUCAAACUUAGUGAGAUUCUUUUGGAAACUGUAAUUCCUUCAAUCCCUCCAAAAAUGAAUAAGAAAGGUUAGUGCAUGUCACUUCGUUAAUGUGUUUGUCUCUUUUCAUUAUCUCUACUUGAUGUUGUUUCAUAUAGCUUCUGCUUUUGAGAAUGGAGAAACCCCAGGUUAAGGUUGCUGAUAAUGAUUCGUAUAGCUGGGUAGAUAAGAGUGUUAAGUCUUAUGUGUCUUGUUUUGAUGAUGUUAAAUCGGUUAAAGUUCUUGGGUCAGACGUUUGGGUCAGUGAGGGUAGGGGGUUAAGAUAGAGAUGCUGCUGCGUGGGAGGGAUGAUCGUGUUUGUGAGAAGUUGUUUGAUUGGCCAUAUUUUUACAUGUAUAGUUAUCUGCUUACAGAGUUAGGUGUGCGGUUCCCCUUUUCGGAGUUCUAAUGUGCUGUGCUGUUUUGGUUAAAGUGUAUUCCCUCAUAGUUGCAUCCUAACUCAUGGGGGUUUGUCAGAGUGUUUGAGGUUUUAAUGGAGGUUCUAGAACAUCUAUCGUCUCUUAGAGUGUUCUUUUCUUUGUUUCAAGCCAAAGGGGUCAGGAGAGGGUUGUGGGUGAAUUUAAGUAGCCACCUUGGUGGGUCAGUGUUUGCUCUGUAUAAGUCAUCAUAUAAGGACUUCAAGAAAAUGUUUGUUAAGGUUAGGAAUGUUCUGGACUAGUUUCUGUUUUAUUUGAAUGAAACUUUAGAGGAGAGGUUUCCCAUCUCUUGGUGUCCUGAACCUACUCAAGUCCUAAAUGUUGAAGAUAGACUUCCUAGUGACAAUGUUAUGUUAGAACUUUUAGUAACUGAAAUGCAAUCUUGGGAGUUGUUAUCCGUUGUAGAGUUGUUGAAGUGGGAUACAGAUGAGCAAGCCAUGUUGGAUUACAUAGGAGAGAAAGCGCCUACCAUAACUACAGCUGGGUUGAAGUCAUUUUUCAAUCAAAGGAAGAAAAUUGAAAAAGAGAGGUCGACAAAGAGACUGCGGCUGGUGUGGUGCAGUCCGAGUUUAAGUCUAGAGGAAAAAGCAAAAGAGGUGCAUCGACUAAGGCCAAUGAUUUGGUUGUUGAUUUGAAAGAUGAUGAUGAUGUGAAUUUGGAAUUGGUGGAAUCAACUUAUGAGUCAUAGAAGGGACUUCACGGGUAUAUGGUGGAUAAUCAUGCUAAAUCGCUGUGGAGUAAAUUGUUCCCCUUUAUGACCUUAUCCGAUCAGUUUGGUCAGUUCCCAGCCAAUGUUGAGAUUAUCAACAAGGUUGGUCCUGCUGGAGUCAUUCAUUCCUUGCAGGUAAUUGGGGCACGCUUUGUGUCUAUUGGACGGACACGAGAUUGCAUUUGAUGCGGAGAAGAAAAAUUUUGCUAUGGUUGCUGAGCUGACCAAAAUUGUUGAGGAUAAAGAGAUGAGGGUGAAGGAGCUGUCCUUCUCUUUGAAGGCUAAGAACUCAAGUGGAAAAUGCGAGGAGUCAACAUCAGUUAAUGGAGAAAGAAAUAAGUGACUUGAAAUCACAAAAGGGUCAAUUGGUUUCUCGCUUAGGUGAAUUGGAGACUGAGGUAUACGAGUCCUUUGCACAAGGGUUUGAACGAUCUGUGGCAUAGGUUAGGGCUUUAUUCUCUGAUGUUGAUGUAGAGAAAUUGGACACGACAACAGUUAUUAUUGAUGGGAAGCUGGUUGAUGACGAGGUGUUGGUUGAAGAAAAAGGAGAAAGCUCCAGCAUUGGAGAGAAGGAUAAUUGAACUUGUAAUAGUAAGGACUUUUCCUUUUGUUUUGAAUUUUGAACUUGUUGGAAUUUGAUCCCGAUUUGACUUCAUCGGUUUGUUUAUUUUGCUUAACUUUUUCAGAGUAUGAAGCUUGGCUCAUGUUUGUUUCA